GCCUUAUACAUGCAAGUCGAACGGUAACAUUGGUGCUUGCACCAGAUGACGAGUGGCGCACGGGUGCGUAACGCGUAUGCAACCUACCUUUUACUAGAGUAUAGCCCAGAGAAAUUUGGAUUAAUCCUCUAUAAUAUCAUUUGAUUUCAUGAUUAAUUGAUUAAAGUUUUAACGGUAAAAGAUGGGCAUGCGUCCUAUUAGUUUGUAGGUGAGGUAACGGCUCACCUAGACUACGAUAGGUAGGGGCCCUGAGAGGGGGAUCCCCCACACUGGUACUGAGACACGGACCAGACUCCUACGGGAGGCAGCAGUAAGGAAUAUUGGACAAUGGACGAAAGUCUGAUCCAGCCAUGCCGCGUGCAGGAUGAAAGCCCUAUGGGUUGUAAACUGCUUUUAUACAGGAAGAAACACUCCGACGUGUCGGAGCUUGACGGUACUGUAAGAAUAAGGAUCGGCUAA
rnacentral:rRNA from 1 species